AAAAACAGGGCAAAAAAACAAGCUAUGACUGCGCUAUCUACGUUAUGAAGUGGCUUGAGUUAAUUGAGCCGAAAAAUAUCAAAAAGAGGAAGUAUGAAUGGGAUAAUUGGCCACAGGAGGAGGUGGACCACUAUAGAGUGGAGUAUGCUUCCCGGAUACUAUUCAGUGAGAUGAAUAAACAGAGAAAUCGGGCAAUUAGAGAGAGUAGUGCUAUAAGGCUGUCGAAGUCAUCCUCUGUAUUAUUGAGUCCGUUUUGUCAGAUUAUUCUGCUGAUAUAGAAACUGGGUAAUCCAACUGCUGCGUAGUUUGUAAUUUAAACAAAUGAUGUAAAUAUUUGCCAAUUAUCAACAACUUCUAUUUCAUGUAUAUUUUUUUCCAUAGUUAAACUAUCUGUACUGGUAAACUGUCUGUGAUGUAUUUAAAAACUGUAUUACAGGUGGUGAACGCAAAUUAUAAACUGUUACACCCAACGCAAGUCUAAUAAUACACCCAAGAUUGCGUAAACUAUACACCCAACUGUCUGCGCUGUACUCAAAAUGUAUGAAUUACAUGUACUAAAAUAUGAAGAAAAACAUCAAAUGAAAUAUACACUCAUAACAUGCGAAU